rnacentral:rRNA from 1 species
CCCUAUGGGGUGCAGCAGGCGAGAAAACUUUGCAAUGUGCGAAAGCACGACAAGGUUAAUCCGAGUGGUUUCCGCUAAAGAAACCUCUCGUCAGUCCUAGAAACACUGAUGAAUAAGGGGUGGGCAAGUUCUGGUGUCAGCCGCCGCGGUAAAACCAGCACCUCAAGUGGUCAGGAUGAUUAUUGGGCCUAAAGCAUCCGUAGCCGGCUCUGUAAGUUUUCGGUUAAAUCUGUACGUUCAACGUACAGGCUGCCGGGAAUACUGCAGAGCUAGGGAGUGGGAGAGGUAGACGGUACUCGGUAGGAAGGGGUAAAAUCCUUUGAUCUAUUGAUGACCACCUGUGGCGAAGGCGGUCUACCAGAACACGUCCGACGGUGAGGGAUGAGAGCUGGGGGAGCAAACCGGAUUAGGUACCCGGGUAGUCCCCAGCUUGUAAACUAUGCAAACUCAGUGAUGCAUUUGGCUUUGUGGCCAAUGCAGUGCUGCAGGGAAGCCCGUUAAGUUUUGCCGCCUGGGGAAGUACGUACGCAAGUAUGAAACUUAAAGGAAUUUGGCGGGGGAGCACCACAAGGGGUGAAGCCUGCGGUUCAAUUUGGAGUCAACGCCAGAAAUCUUUACCCGGAGAGACAGCAGAAUGAAAGUCAAGCUGAAGACUUUACCAGACAGCUGAAGAGGAGGUGCAUGGCCAAGGCGAAUAU